CUCCCAGCGCCACUCGAACAGGUGGACGAUGGCCGUGCGGCCGUCCUUGAAAUGCGGGUCGUACUGAGCCGCGCUCAGCCCGAAGAUCGCUGCCAGAAGUAGGAGCUUCAUCCUCACCUGUCGAUUGGAUGGAGACCAGCUCCAUCUCAUCCAGGGGCAGCUCCAGAGAAUUUCUACUGCUGGUGCUACUGGGUGGAUGGUGACCGUAGUCCCCUGAUCCCCGUGCCGUUGCCCUGCCACUAGAGUAUUAACGGCAAGAAUGGAGUCACUUCUCCUGUCACCUUGUCACCUCGUCAGACAGUGACUGAAAAGAGGCAUUUUGAAAGAGACUCCAACCCAUCAAAAGCAUUCUGGUUUAAAGGCAUGAAGGAUUCAAUGCUUUUAAACCAUAUAGUCAUAUUCCAGAAGCUUUUCUGACCAUACAUCACAAAUGUGACUUUAUAUUUUACAUACUCAAUAAUAAACUUCUCCUAAACAUC